AGUGCCCUCUGCCAGGAGGUGGGUGUCAUGUGGCCCACGCCUGGCCAAUGGACAUACUGGGAAGUCUCCUGAUAGACUUCUGAGACAGAGCCCUUCGUGCCUGCUUUCCUGCUUUUGGAUACUACUGGGUAGGGAAACGCUGCUGGAUGCCUGGGCAGCCCACCUCAUGACCAUGAGGAGACAGCCAACACAAUCAGAGUGAAGAAAAACCCAGCAGCCUCACAUUGCUGAGCUGUCGGAGUCAACCAAUCAUAGAAUGAAGGACUGGAUCGUGCACUACACACUUACAUGGAAGCAGAAUAAGAAGCAGACGCCUGGUGGUGGGCCGGAAAAUAAAUGGAAUAUUUUGCAUUC